AUUGAACGCUGGCGGCAGGCCUAACACAUGCAAGUCGACCGAGUGGCGGACGGGUGAGUAAUGUCUGGGAAACUGCCUGAUGUAGGGGGAUAACUACUGGAAACGGUAGCUAAUACCGCAUACCAUCGGAUGUGCCCAGAUGGGAUUAGCUAGUGGGUGGGGUAAAGGCUCACCUAGGCGACGAUCCCUAGCUGGUCUGAGCUGAUGACCAGCGACCAUGGAACUGAGACAAGGUCCAGCCCCCGACGGUAGGCAGCAGUGGGGAAUAUUGCACAAUGGGCGCAAGCCUGAUGCAGCCAUGCCGCGUGGAUGAAGAAGGCCUUCGGGUUGUAAAGUACUUUCAGCGGGGAGGCGUUACCCGCAGAAGAAGCACCGGCUAACUCCGUGCCAGCAGCCGCGGUAAUUC
rnacentral:rRNA from 1 species